UACCGCCGGUAAGAGCUAUUGUCGCGGCCUCCAUCUCCGCCGCCGCCGCCGGGAGAGGAGGAUGGGAAGCAGCUACUACGCAGCAGCGGCAGCAGCAUCCCAGACGAGGAGAGGCAGGAAGCGCAGGCGCGCGGCGGGGGCGGGGCCGCGGCGGGGGCGGGGCCACGGCGGCGGCGGUGACCGGGCGAGCGCCCCCUGCCUGCCGGAGGACUGCCGGGGCCAACACCCGUGAUUGUGCGGUUGCUCCCUGAUCUCCCAGGCCGGCAGCCUUUGCUCUUUCCCCGCCUCCUGCUCUCAUUCGCCCCCCACUUCGGCCCGGGCCGUUCUGUCCGCUAGUUUGUUGUUUCUUUUUCACCUUCCCCCUCUGUUGCACUGUGCGCAGCCCUCAAACGCCACGCCCGCUAUUAAUCGUCUGCCUUUCCCUGAACCUAGGAGAGCCCCGGAAUCAGUGCUGCGAACCCCAGUUGGUUGGUGGGGACCCCGGGCGGUGCCAGGCCAGGCCCGUGCUGCCCGUGCGGCGCAUCGGGGGUCUCAUUUGGACGCGCAGUCAGGCACCGACAGCAGCCACAGCCUGGCCCCGCGGCUGUCUGCCGUUUCGUACGGAAAUACACAAGGAAGAGAAUCAUGACCCUCUUUUCACCCAGCGAUAUCAGGAAAAAACAACAAACCAUCUAUGCUCACUAUAUAAAUGUAAGGCAGUAAAGAAACUGAUUUAUGCACGAUUUUUGGAAAUACUGAGGCUUUACAAAGUGAAACACAUCGGCAAAGGUAACCUCGAGAGUCUUAAUUCUCUCCAUUCUGCCUCGAAGCACUGCCUGACAUAAAAGGCAAAUACCUGUGGCGAGGUGUGUGUGGGGGGAGUGUGACAAGUGUGUGGGGGGGGGAGUGUGGUGAGUUGUGUGUGAGUGGGAGUGUGGUGAAGAAUGUGCCAGUGGGGUGUGGGGAGGUGCGUGUGAGUGGGGAGUGUGGUGAGUUGUGUGUGUUU
rnacentral:lncRNA from 1 species